rnacentral:rRNA from 1 species
UACGGGGGGGGCAAGCGUUGUUCGGAAUUACUGGGCGUAAAGGGCGCGUAGGCGGUUGGAUAAGUCAGCUGUGAAAACCACGGGCUUAACUCGUGGCCUGCAGUUGAGACUGUCUGGCUUGAGUGUGGGAGAGGAGAGUGGAAUUCCUGGUGUAGCGGUGAAAUGCGUAGAUAUCGGGAGGAACACCUGUGGCGAAAGCGGCGCACUGGACCACAACUGACGCUGAGGCGCGAAAGCUAGGGGAGCAAACAGG